rnacentral:rRNA from 1 species
CGCGGUCGUAUUAGUUAGUUGGUGAAGGUAAAAGGCCCCACCAAGACGAUGGGAUAACGUGAGCCGACCCUGAGAGGGGUUAAUCGGCCCCACAUUGGGAACUGAGACACCGGCCCCAAACUCUCUACGGGAGGCAGCAGUUAGGGAAUUCUUCCACAAAUGGACGAAAAGUCUGAUGGAGCAAUGCCCGCGUGAGUGAAGAAAGGGUUUUCGGCUUCGUAAAACUCUUGUUGUUAAAGAAAGAACAACCUUUGAGGAGUAACUGUUCAAGGGUUGACGGUAUUUAACCAGAAAGCCACGGGCUAANUACGUGCCAGCAGCCGCCGGUAAUAACGUAGGUGGCAAGCGUUGUCCGGAUUUAUUGGGCGUAAAGCGAGCGCAGGCGGUUUUUUAAGUCUGAUGUGAAAGCCUUCGGCUUAACCGGAGAAGUGCAUCGGAAACUGGGAGACUUGAGUGCAGAAGAGGACAGUGGAACUCCAUGUGUAGCGGUGGAAUGCGUAGAUAUAUGGAAGAACACCAGUGGCGAAGGCGGCUGUCUAGUCUGUAACUGACGCUGAGGCUCGAAAGCAUGGGUAGCGAACAGGAUUAGAUACCCUGGUAGUCCAUGCCGUAAACGAUGAGUGCUAAGUGUUGGAGGGUUUCCGCCCUUCAGUGCUGCAGCUAACGCAUUAAGCACUCCGCCUGGGGAGUACGACCGCAAGGUUGAAACUCAAAGGAAUUGACGGGGGCCCGCACAAGCGGUGGAGCAUGUGGUUUAAUUCGAAGCUACGCGAAGAACCUUACCAGGUCUUGACAUCUUCUGCCAAUCUUAGAGAUAAGACGUUCCCUUCNGGGACAGAAUGACAGGUGGUGCAUGGUUGUCGUCAGCUCGUGUCGUGAGAUGUUGGGUUAANUCCCGCAACGAGCGCAACCCUUAUUAUCANUUGCCAGCAUUCAGUUGGGCACUCUGGUNAGACUGCCGGUGACAAACCNGAGNAAGGUGGGGAUGACGUCAAAUCAUCAUGCCCCUUAU